CUGGGCACUCUGGUGAGACUGCCCGGUUAACGGGGAGGAAGGUGGGGACGACGUCAAGUCAUCAUGGCCCUUACGCCUAGGGCUACACACGUACUACAAUGGCGCAUACAAAGGGCAGCGAUACCGCGAGGUGGAGCCAAUCCCAAAAAGUGCGUCCCAGUCCGGAUUGCAGUCUGCAACUCGACUGCAUGAAGUUGGAAUCGCUAGUAAUUCGAGAUCAGCAUGCUCGGGUGAAUGCGUUCCCGGGCCUU
rnacentral:rRNA from 1 species